UAGGGAAUCUUCGGCAAUGGGGGGAACCCUGACCGAGCAACGCCGCGUGAGUGAAGAAGGUUUUCGGAUCGUAAAGCUCUGUUGUUAAGGAAGAACGAGUGUGAGAAUGGAAAGUUCAUGCUGUGACGGUACUUAACCAGAAAGGGACGGCUAACUACGUGCCAGCAGCCGCGGUAAUACGUAGGUCCCGAGCGUUUUCCGGAUUUAGUGGGCGUAAAGCGAGCGCAGGCGGUUAGAAAAGUCUGAAGUGAAAGGCAGUGGCUCAACCAUUGUAGGCUUUUGUAACUGUUUAACUUGAGUUCAGAAUGGGAGUGUGGAAUUCCAUGUUUAUCGAUGAAAUGCGUCGUUAUAUGGAGGAACACCGUUGGCGAAAUCGGCUCUCUUGUCUGUACCUGACGCUGAGGCUCGAAAGCGUGGGGAGCGAACAGG
rnacentral:rRNA from 1 species